CCGCGUGUGUGAUGAAGGUCUUAGGGUUGUAAAGCACUUUCAGUAGGGAGGAAAAGUUCAAGGUUAAUAACCUUGGGCCCUGACGUUACCUACAGAAGAAGCACCGGCUAACUCCGUGCCAGCAGCCGCGGUAAUACGGAGGGUGCAAGCGUUAAUCGGAAUUACUGGGCGUAAAGCGCGCGUAGGCGGUUAAUUAAGUCAGAUGUGAAAGCCCCGGGCUCAACCUGGGAACUGCAUUUGAAACUGGUUAACUAGAGUAUGGUAGAGGAGAGUGGAAUUUCAGGUGUAGCGGUGAAAUGCGUAGAGAUCUGAAGGAACACCAGUGGCGAAGGCGGCUCUCUGGACCAAUACUGACGCUGAGGUGCGAAAGCGUGGGUAGCAAACGGGAUUAGAUACCCCGGUAGUCCACGCCGUAAACGAUGUCAACUAACUGUUGGGCGGGUUACCGCUUAGUGGUGCAGCUAACGCAAUAAGUUGACCGCCUGGGGAGUACGGCCGCAAGGCUAAAACUCAAAUGAAUUGACGGGGGCCCGCACAAGCGGUGGAGCAUGUGGUUUAAUUCGAUGCAACGCGAAGAACCUUACCUACCCUUGACAUACAGAGAACUUUCCAGAGAUGGAUCGGUGCCUUCGGGAGCUCUGAUACAGGUGCUGCAUGGCUGUCGUCAGCUCGUGUCGUGAGAUGUUGGGUUAAGUCCCGUAACGAGCGCAACCCUUAUCCUUAGUUGCUACCAUUUAGUUGGGCACUCUAAGAGACUGCCGGUGAUAAACCGGAGGAGUGGGGGACGACGUCAGUCAUCAUGGCCCUUAUGGGUAGGGCUACACACGUGCUACAUGGCCGGUACAGAGGGCUGCAAACUCGCGAGAGUAAGCGAAUCCCUUAAAGCCGGUCCUAGUCCGGAUUGCAGUCUGCGACUCGACUGCAU
rnacentral:rRNA from 1 species